rnacentral:rRNA from 1 species
GCAGUCGCCGCGGUAAUACAGAGGGUGCGAGCGUUAAUCGGAUUUACUGGGCGUAAAGCGUGCGUAGGCGGCUUUUUAAGUCGGAUGUGAAAUCCCUGAGCUUAACUUAGGAAUUGCAUUCGAUACUGGGAAGCUAGAGUAUGGGAGAGGAUGGUAGAAUUCCAGGUGUAGCGGUGAAAUGCGUAGAGAUCUGGAGGAAUACCGAUGGCGAAGUCAGCCAUCUGGCCUAAUACUGACGCUGAGGUACGAAAGCAUGGGGAGCAAACAGGAUUAGAUACCCCUGUAGUCCCUGUCUCUUAUAC